rnacentral:lncRNA from 1 species
GUGAGGUGGAAGGAAGGGCUCUGGAUGUGCAGAACUUGUGUCCCCCUUCCUUGAAGGCCAUGGGCAGUGAUAAAAGAAUUACUCAUCACAGAGCUCUGUUGAAUUGUCCACUCAGGUAUCUGACUCUUGGACAUUUUGCAUCUGACGCUCUUUUCUACCAGAGGAAAAAGAGGUUUAUUACAAGCCAAGCCGUCUUGCCGUUUACUAACCACUGAAUAUUUAUUAUGGCGACGCGCCAGUGCUAAUGUACUCAAUUCAAGGUGACGGGAAAACAACGUGAUCAGUAUAGAUUGAACAGAUGAGGGCAUUUACCAGCUCCUGAAAUCACAGUGGAAUUAUAGCUCAUGUGAAAGUCGCUCAGUCAUGUCUGACUCUUUGCGACCCCAUGGACUGUAG